rnacentral:rRNA from 1 species
UACCACUUGUUGCCUCGGCGGAUCAGCCCGCUCCCGGUAAAACGGGACGGCCCGCCAGAGGACCCCUAAACUCUGUUUCUAUAUGUAACUUCUGAGUAAAACCAUAAAUAAAUCAAAACUUUCAACAACGGAUCUCUUGGUUCUGGCAUCGAUGAAGAACGCAGCAAAAUGCGAUAAGUAAUGUGAAUUGCAGAAUUCAGUGAAUCAUCGAAUCUUUGAACGCACAUUGCGCCCGCCAGUAUUCUGGCGGGCAUGCCUGUUCGAGCGUCAUUUCAACCCUCAAGCACAGCUUGGUGUUGGGACUCGCGUUAAUUCGCGUUCCUCAAAUUGAUUGGCGGUCACGUCGAGCUUCCAUAGCGUAGUAGUAAAACCCUCGUUACUGGUAAUCGUCGCGGCCACGCCGUUAAACCCCAACUUCUGAAUGUUGACCUCGGAUCAGGUAGGAAUACCCGCUGAACUUAAGCAUAUCAAUAAGC